UUAUGGCCUCAUGCGUGUAUCAUUAUUCUCCGUAGCAUGAAAAGAGCAGAACAGAACAGUCAGAUAAAACACACAUUGGAAGGACUACAUUAACAGCACUCAUGGGAUUAAAGAUUUGUUUAUGGAGAGCCUUUCCCACCCAUAUUCACUGGAGGAUCAGGAACACAUGUUACACUGUCUGAGUGAGAACAGUAUGGAACCAAAGACCAGCAAGGACUCUGGGAUUACUUGGGAUACCUUAAGUUCAGGGGUCCACUCUUGGGACAGUCAGAUAGACCCACUGAGCUUUAAAAGUGAUUCUCUUCUGUUUGGUGGAGGAGACACAAUUGCACCCAGUUAUUU